GCUCGUAGUUGAACUUCAGGCCUGGCUGGGCGGUCUGCCUAACGGUAUGUACUGUCUGGCUGGGUCUUACCUCUUGGUGAGCCGGCAUGCCCUUCAUUGGGUGUGUCGGGGAACCAGGACUUUUACCUUGAAAAAAUUAGAGUGUUCAAAGCAGGCUUAUGCCCGAAUACAUUAGCAUGGAAUAAUAAAAUAGGACGUGCGGUUCUAUUUUGUUGGUUUCUAGAGUCGCCGUAAUGAUUAAUAGGGAUAGUUGGGGGCAUUAGUAUUCCGUUGCUAGAGGUGAAAUUCUUGGAUUUACGGAAGACUAACUAUUGCGAAAGCAUUUGCCAAGGAUGUUUUCAUUAAUCAAGAAC
rnacentral:ncRNA from 1 species